CUACAGGAGAGAGAAAAAGGAAAAAAAUCAGCCAAGAUCCCAGUUUCUUCAUUUCUCCACAUCUUAUUUUUUUUUCUUCAAUCCUCCUUGAUCUACACUCCUUUAUUCCUCAGAAUACACAGCUACUAAGCGGGCUUUUGAAAUCCUUAUAUCCCCAUAGCCACUGCAAGAUCUCUCACUCUGUCUCCCUCUCUCUCUCUCCUAAAAUGCCCACCCUCAGUCUGAAACCUCUGUUCUCUUUAACCAUUUCCAGGCAAGUGGAUUCUCAGGAUAACACAGUCAUUUUGUGUUCUUAGCCCAUGUAUUCAGUACCCAUCACAACACAGGUGGGUGGAAACAAUUCUGACUUUCUUUUUCAUUUUCUCUCUUUUUUUAUUUUGACUGUCUAUUUGAUCUGCUGUUAUACAUUUAUAAUUAACUUUAUAAUUAAAUAUAUAUUUAUAACUGCAAGGUCCCUUACUGGGCUGAACUAUUUGACUUUAUUGUGAUAGACAGAUAUAUAGAUAGAUAGAUAGAUAGAUAGAUAGAUAGAUAGACAGAUAGAUAGUUUUUUUUUUGUUUUUUUUUUACUAGAAUUCAUAUCCUGUCUAAAUGGGCCAGUGUAAGUUUCAUGACAUUCAGACUCUUUUUUUUUUUUUUUUUUAGUUCACAAAUCAGUCACCCUCGUCACAGUUAUUGAAAUUCCUCAACUUGCCACACCAGGACGGUGAAAAAGCAGGCGGUGUCUUUGUUAGUGGCCGAGCUUUUGAUCGCCAGAGAAAAUGUACUUACCCUCAGAUGAGUGCACAGAAAAAGAACUUACACUCCCUUUGAUUUACUCAGGAAAAUGUAGACAUUUUGAUUCAGUGCAAACAUACAACACUUGGUUGUUUUCUAGAUGCAACCCUCCAUUAACCUGUCUAUCCCCCCCAGUUUAAAGUCUAUAGAAUUACUGACCAUACUUUCUUUUUGUCCUCUACAAAGGGAGCUCCAACAAUACAUUAAAAUCAUUGGAGAAUGGUGUGACGAUGGGCUCUGCAUACAUUGCCCCCUUUGAGCCUUCAAAUUUAACACAGUUGCCAAAUAAUAUUCCCGAAAAUGUAUCUCCACACAUAUUUUCUAUUUACAUUUAUACCUGCAAAAAAUACAUGUAUGCAACAAUAAAAUGGAG